rnacentral:rRNA from 1 species
UAGGGAAUAUUGGACAAUGGGCGCAAGCCUGAUCCAGCCAUCCCGCGUGAAGGAUUAAGGCCCUAUGGGUUGUAAACUUCUUUUCUCUGGGAAUAAAAACCGGGAUUUAUACUGCCUUGAAGGUACCAGAGGAAUAAGCACCGGCUAACUCCGUGCCAGCAGCCGCGGUAAUACGGAGGGUGCAAGCGUUAUCCGGAUUCACUGGGUUUAAAGGGUGCGUAGGUGGCUUUGUAAGUCAGUGGUGAAAGCCCGGAGCUCAACUCCGGAACUGCCAUUGAUACUGCUUAGCUUGAAUCAGGUCGAGGUGGAUGGAAUAUUACAUGUAGCGGUGAAAUGCUUAGAUAUGUAAUAGAACACCGAUUGCGAAGGCAGUUCACUAGGCCUGUAUUGACACUGAGGCACGAAAGCGUGGGGAUCAAACAGGAUUAGAUACCCCCGUAGUCC